GAGGUUUACGAGAAUGAUCCCAGGAAUGAUUGAGUCAACACAUGAUGAGUGUUUGAUGGCACUGUGUCUGUAUUCGCUGGCGUUUAGAAGGAUGAGUGGGCACUUCUUUGAAACUUAUCGAACAGUGAAAGGGCUGGACAGAGUGGAUGUGGAG